rnacentral:rRNA from 1 species
GACGAACGCUGGCGGCGUGCCUAAUACAUGCAAGUAGAACGCUGAAGGAGGAUCUUGCUUCUCCGGAUGAGUUGCGAACGGGUGAGUAACGCGUAGGUAACCUGCCUGGUAGCGGGGGAUAACUAUUGGAAACGAUAGCUAAUACCGCAUAACAGUAGAUGUUGCAUGACAUUUGCUUAACAGGUGCAAUUGCUGCACUACCAGAUGGACCUGCGUUGUAUUAGCUAGUUGGUGGGGUAACGGCUCACCAAGGCGACGAUACAUAGCCGGCCGGAUAGGGGGGGCGGACACACAGGGACGGAGAGACGGACCAGACUCCUACGGGCGGCAGCCGGAGGGGAUCAUUGUCAAUAGACGGAAGUAUGACCGAGGCACGCAGGGUGAGUGAAGAAGGGUGUCCGACCGUAAAGCACUGUUUUAAGAGAAGAAAGAGUGUGUGAGUGGAAAGUGCACACGGUGACGGUAGCUGAACAGGAAGCGACGGCUAACUACGUG